AAAGACAGCUCUUGAUUCCUCUCUUAAUUUCUGUAGUAAGACUUCAUCUUCAGCAGGCAGCUGAAAAUACAAGGUCUUUAGACAAACUCAGCCAAGUGUCAACCAGAAAACAUUUGAAUUUACCUGUAGCCUGGAAGCCCCGCUUCAAAUUGUCCCACCUUUCUGGAUCAAACCAAUGUAUUUCUCAAAUGUAUUUGAUUGAUGUCUCAUGCCUCUCUAAAAUGUAUGAAACCAAGCUGCACCCAAACCACCUUUGGUACAUGUUCUCAGGAUCUCUUGAAGGCUGUGUCACAGGCCAUGGCCACUCAUAUUUGGCUCAGAAUAAAUCUCUUCAAAUAUU